rnacentral:rRNA from 1 species
GACGAGCGCUGGCGGCGUGCUUAACACAUGCAAGUCGAACGGUAAGGCCCUUCGGGGUACACGAGUGGCGAACGGGUGAGUAACACGUGGGUGAUCUGCCCUGCACUUCGGGAUAAGCCUGGGAAACUGGGUCUAAUACCGGAUAGGACCACUGCCUGCAUGGGUGGUGGUGGAAAGCUUUUGCGGUGUGGGAUGGGCCCGCGGCCUAUCAGCUUGUUGGUGGGGUGAUGGCCUACCAAGGCGACGACGGGUAGCCGGCCUGAGAGGGUGACCGGCCACACUGGGACUGGGAUACGGCCCAGACUCCUACGGGAGGCAGCAGUGGGGAAUAUUGCACAAUGGGCGCAAGCCUGAUGCAGCGACGCCGCGUGAGGGAUGACGGCCUUCGGGUUGUAAACCUCUUUCAGCACCGACGAAGCGCAAGUGACGGUAGGUGCAGAAGAAGGACCGGCCAACUACGUGCCAGCCGCCGCAGUAA